rnacentral:rRNA from 1 species
CUACGGGGUGCAGCAGUGGGGAAUAUUGGACAAUGGGGGAAACCCUGAUCCAGCAAUGCCGCGUGUGUGAAGAAGGCCUGCGGGUUGUAAAGCACUUUCGGUUGGGAGGACUGCUUCUAGCACUAAUAUUGUUGGAAGUUGACGUUACCUUCAGAAGAAGCACCGGCUAACUCCGUGCCAGCAGCCGCGGUAAUACGGAGGGUGCAAGCGUAAUCGGAAUUACUGGGCGUAAAGCGCGCGUAGGCGGCUAGAUCAGUCGGGUGUGAAAGCCCCGGGCUUAACCUGGGAACUGCAUCCGAUACUGUCUAGCUUGAGUACAGGAGAGGAGAGUGGAAUUCCACAUGUAGCGGUGACAUGCGUAGAUAUGUGGAGGAACACCAAUGGCGAAGGCAGCUCUCUGGCCUGAUACUGACGCUGAGGUGCGAAAGCGUGGGGAGCAAACAGGAUUAGAUACCCCGGUAGUC